rnacentral:rRNA from 1 species
UACGAAGGGGGCUAGCGUUGCUCGGAAUCACUGGGCGUAAAGGGCGCGUAGGCGGCCAUUCAAGUCAGAGGUGAAAGCCCAAGGCUCAACCUUGGAAUUGCCUUUGAUACUGUUUGGCUUGAGACCGGAAGAGGUUAGUGGAACUGCGAGUGUAGAGGUGAAAUUCGUAGAUAUUCGGAGGAACACCAGUGGCGAAGGCGGCUCACUGGCCCGGUACUGACGCUGAGGUGCGAAAGCGUGGGGAGCAAACAGG